AGCCCUGCUCUGGGAAGGUGCCAUUCGGAGGGCCAGGGUUUGAUUAUGUGUCACUCUGGCUGCUAUGGCCCCCUCCCAGGGUCUGGGC
rnacentral:pre_miRNA from 1 species